rnacentral:rRNA from 1 species
AGAUUGAACGCUGGCGGCGUGCUUAACACAUGCAAGUCGAGCGGUAACGCGGGAGCAAUCCUGGCGACGAGCGGCGAACGGGUGAGUAAUGCUUGGGAAUCUGCCCAUUAGUGGGGAACAACCAGCCGAAAGGUUGGCUAAUACCGCAUACGCCCUACGGGGGAAAGCGGGGGAUCGAAAGACCUCGCGCUAAUGGAUGAGCCCAAGUCGGAUUAGCUUGUUGGUAGGGUAACGGCCUACCAAGGCGACAAUCCGUAGCUGGUCUGAGAGGACGACCAGCCACACUGGGGACUGAGACACGGCCCAGACUCCUACGGGAGGCAGCAGUGGGGGAAUAUUGGACAAUGGGGGCAACCCUGAUCCAGCGACGCCGCGUGUGUGAAGAAGGCCUGCGGGUUGUAAAGCACUUUUAGUGGGGAUGAAAAGCUCAGGGUUAACACCUCUGGGUCUUGACCUAACCACAGAAAAGCACCGGCUAACUCUGCGCCAGCAGCCGC